rnacentral:rRNA from 1 species
AGCAGCCACGGUAAUUCCAGUUCCAAUAGCGUGUAUUAAAGUUGUUGCAGUUAAAAAGCUCGUAGUUGAAUUUUGGAAUCAAUGGAUCGGUCAUGCCAAUCGGUAUGUACUGGUUUGAUUGGUUCUCACCUUCUAAGGAGCCGUGAUGUCAUUAAUUUGGUGUCGCAGGGAAUUAGGACUGUUACCUUGAAAAAUUAGAGUGUUUAAAGCAAGCUCACGCUUGAAUACAUUAGCAUGGAAUAAUGAAAUAGGACAUUGUAUUCUAUUUUAUUGGUUUUAGGAUCGAUGUAAUGAUUAAUAGGGAUAGUUGGGGGCAUUAGUAUUCAAUUGUCAGAGGUGAAAUUCUUGGAUUUAUUGAAGACUAACUACUGCGAAAGCAUUUGCCAAGGAUGUUUUCAUUAAUCAAGAACGAAAGUUAGGGGAUCGAAGACGAUCAGAUACCGUCGUAGUCUUAACCAUAAACUAUGCCGACUAGGGAUCGGAUGAUGUUAUUUUAAUUGACUCU